AAUCUGACUCUCAGAAUACUAUCGACCCGGACACUUUGUACUUUUCUCCUGGCCUCGGCCCUAGAAUGAAGGUUUUUCUCUCUGACUAUGGCUUCCCCGAUGCAGAAUUCCAGCAGACUCUCAAUAGAUGAUGCUGUAAGCACAGACUGCCAAAGGAAAGCCCAUUUUCUUCCAGUUCUCUUCUUCUCAAGAGCCAAAAGAGGUAGCAUGAUGGCAAAAUGGAUAGAAGACCGAUCUUAAUAUCUGGAAGACUUGAGCUCAAAUCUGGUCUUUGAGUCUGAGUGAUCGAGCUAUGAGUGACUCAAUUAUAUGGAAAGUCCCCCAGCCAUAUUUUUGCCCAUCUAUCCCUUGGCAUCCAUUGGCCAACAUGGGGGUAGUGAUCAUAAGCACUUGACCAACAAGUGGCCAUGGGUUGCCAGUCUGUGGCCUGCCUUUCUACCAGCCCAUGGGGGUGCUCAUCAGGACCUCUUGAAAGAUCAAGAUAGGUCUGUCAAUGUCUGUCAAGACAUUAGUCCAUUUGAGUACCGAUGGGAUUCUUUAUUUUUGUGUAGAGCCUCCUGGAGGGAAAAGAGCAAGGUUUAUCAACUAAUAAGAUUAUGGAUUUUUAGUUUGUUUUAUCUGUAUUGUCUGGGGAACAAGCACUAUAAAACUAAGUCUCUGGAGGAGGAGGGCGUCUCAGAUCAUGAGGAGGAUCUAAGGUCCACUUUUUUGGAGGGGUUCAUGGACCUUUUAAUAAAUUACCAAUAGCUCACCACUCUGUCUCAUUUAUUUUCCUUAUAGAUUGGACAAUUUUGAAAUUUUCACACAUGUAGCAUCUGAAGAUUUGCAAAGCAUUUUCUUCCUAUGAACUUUACCUGCUAGGUAGUCAAGUAUUUUUGUCGUUAUUCUAAAUAUUAAGAAACAGAUGCAGCAUGAGUCCUGAAGUCAGGAGGAUCUGA